rnacentral:lncRNA from 1 species
CGGACAAUUAAGCACAAUUCCCUGAUUAAUUCUAGCACAAUAAACUAAGUGAAAUCAAUAAAAUAUCGACUCAUCAAAAUAGACCACACUUAGUCUUUUACACUCCUGGGAAAAAUCAAGAUGCAAAUCAGGGAACAGUUCAACGGACAUCAGGGAAUUGACAUAGUGUUGACGGAUUGGCAAGCGUACCAAAUCGUUCAAGUAAUAUAAUUGGUAAAACCCAAUAUCGUUCUUCCCAAGAGACUUGAAAGGUUUCUCGUUCACAUGAAUUAAAAUAAUAAGACUUCAAAAUAAAAAUUAAUAAAUUGAUUUGAGAACAAAAAUAUUAACAUGCAAAAGAGAUUGAUUCAAUUGACAAAAGAAAAUAAUGGAUGAAUGAAGUUGUUGGGGGUUUACAAUUUCAUCUAAUCCGCUCUCUCUUAUCUACUCCUCUUGAAUUAUUAGUUUGAUUAAUUAAUUGUUAUGCGACUUUCUUAGCCUACCCUUAACCCGAUCCCUCGGCGAAAAGAGCCUAAUAUUAACUACUGGCUUGCUAUCCCUAGCCUCCCCUAGNAAUUAAUACCGCAUUAUAUACAGAAGUUAACGCAAUUAAUCGUCCUACCCUUAUCCCUAGGUGGUAUUGCAAAAUCAAGAAAUUACUCACCAGUUCAUGACAUAUGAAAAUAACUGUUUUUCAACCUUCAUCAACACCCCAAACUUAGAACUUUGCUUGUCCUCAAGCAAACAAAACAAAACAAAAC